CUAAGAACCCUGAUUGACCAGGAAGAAAAAAAAUUAAGUCUGAAUCAUGUCCCUCAAGAGCUUGGCACACACGUGAUUUCAAUACAGUCCGUGUUCUGGAGGAAAGACGGGACUCUUGGAGCUUCAGUAAGGAACACAAAGGCCUUUGACUGCAAGGAACUCAGUCUACUGGGAGAGAUGGAUACAUCAACAGAAUCAUCGAAAUGCCUUUCCUUUAAAGCAAAGACCAUUCAGAAUCAAAGGCUCAUUUCCUGGAAAUACAGGGCUGGACGGCAGCCAUCCCUCAAAUGAGGCCCCAUGGAGAAGACUUGGAAAUGCACGCUCCCAACUCAGGUUUCCAGUGGAUGCAUAUUAAACCCCAAGGACUGGAAGCUGAGGUCAUGGAUUGCUUUCUCAUUGCUGUCAAGGUGCCCAAAAAAAAGAGACACUGUUUGCACCCCCGGGCUCACUGGUUCAGUCUUUCUCCUUCUUCCCCGGCUUCUCACCACUCCUCAUGCACUGUCAGUGGAAGCCCUGCCUCUACCUGCAAUAGGAAACUGAGCCGAGAGACGGUCCCCUUACGGCCUCUAACCUGCGCAUCUCAGGCACGAGAUCCUCUCCCUUCAGCAUUCCUGCCUUCCUUAUUCCCUGUGUCCUGGGCCCUCUGCACACCUUAUCUCCAGCCCUGUUUGGCAUCGACAUUCUAA
rnacentral:lncRNA from 1 species